ACGACGGGUAGCCGGCCUGAGAGGGUGACCGGNCACACUGGGACUGAGACACGGCCCAGACUCCUACGGGAGGCAGCAGUGGGGAAUAUUGCACAAUGGGCGCAAGCCUGAUGCAGCAACGCCGCGUGAGGGACGACGGCCUUCGGGUUGUAAACCUCUUUUAGCAGGGAAGAAGCGAAAGUGACGGUACCUGCAGAAAAAGCACCGGCUAACUACGUGCCAGCAGCCGCGGUAAUACGUAGGGUGCAAGCGUUGNNNNGAAUUAUUGGGCGUAAAGAGCUCGUAGGCGGUUUGUCGCGUCUGCUGUGAAAACGCGAGGCUCAACCUCGCGCCUGCAGUGGGUACGGGCAGACUAGAGUGCGGUAGGGGAGAUUGGAAUUCNCUGGUGUAGCGGUGGAAUGCGCAGAUAUCAGGAGGAACNNCNNAUGGCGAAGGCAGAUCUCUGGNNNGNAACUGACGCUGAGGAGCGAAAGCGUGGGGAGCGAACAGGA
rnacentral:rRNA from 1 species